GCAAUAAAAACCCUAACACAAUCUUCUCAAUUAAAAACCCAGCAUAAAUUAGGAAUAGAGCAGCGGUUCUCGACAUGUGGGUCUCGACCCCUCUGACAAACCUCUAUCUCCAAAAAUAUUUGAUUAUGAUUAUAACAGUAGCAAAAUUACAGUUGUAAAUUACAGUAGCAAUGAAAAUAAUUAUCAUUGAGGGUCACCACAACUUGAGAAACAGUAUUAAGGGGUUGCGACAUUAGGAAGGCUGAGAACCACUGGAAUAGAGCGUAAUAAAUUAAACAAAGGAAGGCUGGGAUGAAGCUUGACGGUUGAACAGCUGACUAAUACACUAGUGAGGGGCUGGGGGCGUGGCUCAGGUGUAGAGCCCCUGCCUAGAAUCCCCCAGUAAAGGACUGGAGGCGGUAAUCAGUAAUAAAACACUUGCCUAGAAUCCAUCAGAGAGGGGCUGGGGCUUGGAUCGGUGAUAGAGCAAAGGAAAUCUAUGAAACUGACUAAUCCUAUCCCUAUCCACCCUAUUCCAUGAAAACAUUUGUGGUGGAUUGAAUAUGGUUGGCCCAGGGAGUGGUACUGUUAGGAGGUGUGGCCUUGUUGGAGGAAGUGCAUCACUGUGGGGGGUGGGGGACUUUGAGACAUUCCUCCUACUCACCUGAAGAUGCUGAGUCUUCUAGCAGUCUUCAAAUCAAAAUGUUGAACUCUCAGCUCCUCCAGCAUCAUGCCUAUCUGGACGCUGCCAUGCUUCCCUCCACAAUGAUAAUGGACGGAACCUCAGAGACUGUAAGCCAGCCCCAAUUAAAUGUUGUCCUUUAUAAGAGUUACCUUGGUCAUGGUGUUUCUUCACAGCAAUGAAGACCCAAACUAAGACAGCAUCCACUAAGAUCUAAAGCCAAGCAAGGUUUCUUUCCUCACUCAAGGCUAGGUCCCUGUUUGGAGACACCCUGUUCCAACCACACGCUUAAUUGACACUGAGUCACCCCUAAGAUGUUAAUAAACAGACUAACAGUGUCAGCCUAACCCAAGCAUGUGGGGUGUUGUGCAAUUUUCAGUAAGUUUGUUUGUUUGUUUGUUUUGGGGUUUUUUGUUUGUUUGUUUUGGGGUUUUGUUUUUGUUUGUUUGUUUGUUUUUUCUAGACAGAGUUUCUUUGUAUAGCCUUGGCUGUCCUGGAAGUCACUUUGUAGACGAGGAUAGCUAGGGCUCACCUCUGGCCUCUUUCCCUCUCACCCCCCUCUUACCCUCUCCUCCCCCUGCCCACCUCUGUGAGUGUGUGCGAGUGCACAUGCGCACACAUGUGCGCGUGCGCGCACACACAGACACACACACACACACACACACACAGACACACACACACACACAGACAUUCAAUGCCAACCAAGCUGCACAUGGAGAAGCUAAGAAGACAAGUUGCAGGAGUCAGUUCUCUCUUUCCACAACGUGGGUUCUGGGCUCAAACUCCAGCUUGGCCAUCUCACCAGCCAACAAGCAUUCUCGAUAGACCCCCUAGUUUCCCUAAGCAGACAACAGGAGACUUGUUAGUCAGCUACAGUGGUCGUAUCACUUCCUGUGAUCUUUUAGCAUCAGUGUCUCAGAAUCUGGCUAUGAGAGUUCUUAAAAUUCUUCACUUCCUUCCUCUAUCCAGAGUCUCAAGCCAUUUAGGAUCACCAAACUGGAAAGACCCAGGAUUCUACCCCCUGACGUUUAUAGUUCUUGGACAAGCCACUGACGUUAUACAGGACUCACCUUCUGCAUUCUAUACAUAGAAAGGCAGCAUUUUAAAAACAUGGUGCUGAGGGUAAGUUAGAAAAAUAUAUAGGCAGGUAGAGAAACGGCCUUCCUGCCAGGGUUGUUUCCUUCCUUAGAGAAAGGUUAGAAGGGCAAAUGCGUAGGCAAAAUGUUAAGAUGAGAGGACCCAUAAGUCUUAUAAAAUGCUAAACACUGAGCCCUUGUAAGGACUCCCAACUCAGCGAUUGUCAGCUUGCCUCAAUAAAGCUCCACACACGCACACCUUUGUCCCUCUCAGUCAGUUCUUUGCCUGCCCCACAAAUAAACUCAACCAGAAUCUUAGUUACCGUAGGGGACAAAGAUGGGUCAGCUCUAAAGGACAUAUGCUGCUUUUGCGGAGAACCUGAAUUUGGGUCCCCAGCACCCACAUGGGGUGGCUCACAACCGCCUGUGACUGAAGUUUCCAGGAGAUCCAACGCCCUCUUUGGGUGCGUGCACGCACGCACGCGCGCACACACACACACACACAAUUUAAAAAUACGAUCACUGACAGUGUUUGUUUGUUUUUUAAUUUCUUUUAAACUGCCCUUGACUCUUGCUUUGCCAUUUAUAAUUUAGCAAUCUUGAACAAAGUGAGUUCGUUUCUCUGAGUCACCUGUAAAUGAGGCUCUUCGUGAAGAUUUAAUGACAUCAUCUGAGCAAAGCCCCCACCCCCGGAAACCCCUCCUUUCAGCCCCCUCUCUCCAAACUGAAGCUCAUUAUAGGAGGCAGAAGAGUAUAGACAAGUUCUUACUGCAGAUGCCAGUGAUCCCAUAGCUGGUGAGGCAAGCAAAUCUGGCUAUGAAAUCUUCGAGACAGUACACUUCGCCCUCCAGCCUGCUCCUGCCCAAAGAGGCAGCACAAGUCUGUGCGUUAACUUGCUCCAGUCACCCAUUGCUCUCUGAAGCAGGUGGUUCAAGGAGCGCAAUGGUCCACGAACGAACUACAUUUCCCAGCAUGCACUUCCAGCCAGGGACCCUAGAGACUAUCCUGCGAACCUUGUCCGAACCGCUUUAGGAGUAUCGGUCCGUAAUCUCCAUUCAUUCAGCUCCUAUGUUUCCCUUGGCUAAAUGAGUCAGUUACCGUGAACUCCAACAUGAACGGGUCUCCUGCAGGGCUUGUAGAAAGCGUUGGUUCAUUCGCCCUGAUAGGAGAUAGGGCCUAAGGACCAGGGUUCGUGUAGCCUGGGACGAACCCAAGGCCUCGCAGCUU
ensembl:processed_transcript Gm44684 predicted gene 44684